GAGCAGAGGGCUUCUCAAGUCCGCGCAUGAGAGAGAGAGAGAGAGAGAGAGAGAACGCCCAUGGUUUGGAGGGCUUCACUCUCGGAUCGAAACAGAGCUUCGCCGAUCCCAAUAUUCCAGCUUCGCCCUCGGAGUUGAUUUGCCAAAUAUUUACACUGCACAAGGGGCAAGCGUACAAGCUGGGCACUCAUCUGGGUAGUUCAAACUUGAAAGUCCUUUGAUUCCCCAUAUGAAUUGGUCAGUUUUUCUGUUUUGUCAUCUGAGACGUUGAGUUUCCCUGGUUUUUUCAUCUGGGUCUUUGCUAUGUUCUCGAUUUCAGCAGCUUUAAUUUUGACAUUAAAAUUGUGGGCUUUCAGCUGUUUUGAUUCAAUCAGUGAGGGGAAGUUGAUUGAUUUUGCUCAUAUAUCUGCAUUAAAGGUAUUGGGUCUGGACUCCUUCAUUAGGAUUUUCUAGUGUUUGGGUGGUGAAUAGUGUUUGGGUGGUGAAUUCUGGCAGGAUUUGGAUUUUUUGUUCUGCUCUUGUGGCUCUAGAUGUGUUGUGGCUGAUCUUCUCUAAGAGUAGAAGUUGGUGCUGCAGUUGAGGGUUUUAAUCCAGUGGAUGUCGUGAUUUUCUGUUUUUCUUUGGAUGAAUGAGUAAAGUUUUGGAGGAAUUGUAUUAGUUGUUUUGGUCAUGAUUUUUGGAUUCUAACUCUUCUGUAAAGAGCUUGUGAGGCUUUGUUGCAGAAGAGAAUUGGGGUUUCUACUCCCCGGGAAUUGGGAAAGAAAACUUGCAUUGUAAAUGAUGUUUUAUCCUCGACUUCAAGGAGCUUCAAAACAAUCUUGUAGUCUUCUUGCUGUCACCUGUGGGAAAAAUGCUGGAGAUAAAUCUUUAAGAAGGAUGCUGCAGAGGAUAAGCCGAGCUGCUGAGAUACCCCUUUUUUCAGAGUUGGUAUCUUCUGGACGUUUGGAGGUGCAAUAUUCCAUUUUUGGUUGCAACUUUUCUGUACUGAGUAUCAGAUUGGAAAUGUGUUGCAUGCAACUUUUUAAAGAUAGAUUUUAUAGGCAUGUAAUUUUGUAUACAUUUAUGGCUUAUGACUUACUAUAAAAUCAAGUUUAAGAA